GUUUAUCUUCAUGAUCCUACAGCCUUUCUUGCAGCUGUUGAUCCUUCACUUAUGACCUACAUUGAGGGUGUUGUUAGAGUCCAAACAACUGGCAUCACAAGGGGGUUGACAAUAUUUUAUAACAAACAGAAGAGGUUUGCUGAAGAAACUGAAUGGUCUGAUAAACCUACAGUGAAGGUAGCUGUCACAGUUGAUGCUCCCACAGUUGUCAAAUUGCUUAUGGAACGGCUUAUGGAAUCAUAAACCUUGCAGGUUAGAAUUCGCCAGUGAUUAGGAACUUCCUUUGGUGGUCAAAUGGCCACUGGUGAUGCAAUUAAAACUCCAUUGUUUUCAUGUGUAUUUUCUCUUGUGGGCAUGUGGUUGGUCAUUGGUCAUACUUUCCAAUUUGUUUCCUCUCGCACACCACAGCAAGAGAUGGUUUUCUUGACGUUCUGAUAGACAUUGUUGUCCUAAUUUCUCUGGAAUUAUUGAUCACAAUAAAGCACCCUGCCCUGUAUUUCUUUCUGCC
rnacentral:misc_RNA from 1 species